rnacentral:rRNA from 1 species
GACGAACGCUGGCGGCAGGCUUAACACAUGCAAGUCGAACGCGCCCUUCGGGGCGAGUGGCAGACGGGUGAGUAACGCGUGGGAACCUACCUCAUGGUGCGGAACAACACAGGGAAACUUGUGCUAAUACCGUAUGUGCCCUUCGGGGGAAAGAUUUAUCGCCAUUGGAGCAGCCCGCGUUGGAUUAGGUAGUUGGUGAGGUAAAGGCUCACCAAGCCUACGAUCCAUAGCUGGUCUGAGAGGAUGACCAGCCACACUGGGACUGAGACACGGCCCAGACUCCUACGGGAGGCAGCAGUAGGGAAUCUUGCGCAAUGGGCGAAAGCCUGACGCAGCCAUGCCGCGUGUAUGAUGAAGGUCUUAGGAUUGUAAAAUACUUUCACCGGGGAAGAUAAUGACGGUACCCGGAGAAGAAGCCCCGGCUAACUUCGUGCCAGCAGCCGCCGUAAAAC